CCGGAUGGAACGCCGAAUCCUGCCGCCGUCCGGGAACCCGACCACUCACGUACGGCAGGAGCGGGGGACCCAGGUUUGCCGCCGGUCCGGAAUCCGGAGCGGCUAGGGGUGAAGUCGCCAUGUGCGACCGGACAUCUCCAGUCCGAACCCGACAGCUCACCUCGUAGGCGACGGAGAGGAAAUAC
rnacentral:sRNA from 2 species